rnacentral:rRNA from 1 species
UACGGAGGGUGCGAGCGUUGUCCGGAAUCACUGGGCGUAAAGGGCGCGUAGGCGGCGCGGUAAGCACGCGGUGAAAGCCCGGGGCUCAACCCCGGGUCGGCCGUGCGGACUGCCGCGCUGGAGCACUGUAGAGGCGGGCGGAAUUCCGGGUGUAGCGGUGGAAUGCGUAGAGAUCCGGAAGAACACCGGUGGCGAAGGCGGCCCGCUGGGCAGUGGCUGACGCUGAGGCGCGACAGCGUGGGGAGCAAACAGG